GUUGGAAACUUUUUAUAGUACUUUUAUUGUUAAACAUAUCAUACUGAGUUGUAGAUAAAAAUAUCCCCGUUGAUGAUGGUGUUUGGUUUCUGUACUGUCUAAUGUCAACUAUCGUAUUUUUGUUGGCACACACUCUUACAAAUACAUCUCCCACAAUCGCAAACUUUAACUUUUCUGUGCAUGGAACUAAGGUCAGUUUAGGUCGUUGAAGCUGAAAUUAUUGAUAUAUAUAUAUAUAUAAAUAUUGAUGUUGAAUUUGAACGAUCACCAACCAUUUCUAUAACCGCCGCAAUAGAAACUCCAGUGAAAUAUAGGAUCAGAGAUAUACCUAUAAUUUUCACUAAAAGAAGAGUUCUACUAUUCACUGAUCUUUCAAGAUCGUUUAGAUUGUUUUCAAUAUCAUCCAUGAUUGUGACCUGAUUCAAAAUAUACUAUUCAUCUCUUUUUUAAACCCAAUUUCAAACAUGAUUUUAUUUUUAUUUACUAUUUGAUUGAUUUAAAAGUAAGAAUAGCAAGUAUAAAUUUAAAUGUCCUACAUAUGUAUGGAGAUAACUUCUUAGUUUUAAAAUUUCUAAAAUAUUUCUUCUUUUUUUUAUUAUUUAUUUCAGAAGCAAACCUUCACCACAAAAGACCGAAGGUUAUUGAAAUAACGGACUCCUCCGAAUCGGAUUUCGAAUG
rnacentral:lncRNA from 1 species